GUAGGGAAUAUUGGGCAAUGGAUGCAAGUCUGACCCAGCCAUCCCGCGUGCCGGAAGAAGGCCCUCAGGGUUGUAAACGGCUUUUGACGGUGAAGAAUCGACAGGAUGCGUCCUGUUUUGACGGUAGCCGUUGAAUAAGCACCGGCUAACUCCGUGCCAGCAGCCGCGGUAAUACGGAGGGUGCGAGGGUUGUCCGGAUUUAUUGGGUUUAAAGGGUGCGUAGGCUGGAAGGUCAGUCAGCGGUGAAAAGCUGUCGCUUAACGAUAGUCUUGCCGCAGAUACUUCCUUUCGUGGAUGAGGAGGAGGCCACUGGAACGGAUGGUGUAGCGGUGAAAUGCAUAGAUAUCAUCCAGAACACCGAUUGCGAAGGCAGGUGGCUGUACCUUAAUCGACGCUGAUGCACGAAAGCAUGGGGAGCAAACAGGAUUAGAAACCCUGGUAGUCC
rnacentral:rRNA from 1 species